CUGAAAAAUCAUCCAGGUCCGGCCCCUCCCUGCACU
rnacentral:sRNA from 1 species